AAUGGAUUAUGUUUGGAAUAGAUGUGUUUCCAUAUGUUUAUAUGAAUAUGUUAUUAUUAAGGUAUAUCCUGUAGUGGUUUUUUCCUCACAAAAAAAAGCAUGUUAUGUCUUUGUGUUUGUUUCCCUAAAAAAUUUUCUAAACUUCUCAAUCACUAUAUGGAAUGCAAGUCAUGGUUUUCUUUUCUUGUCUUUUUUUUAUCUAUCUCUUAAAAAGAUUUAGCUGACUUUUUCAAUAUAUAUUUUUUAGUAGAUUAUGUUGGACUUGGAGAGAUGGCUGUGUUUUUCAUUUUCUUUCUUCAAGUGGUUUUCAUUAAUGGUCACAUGUACUUGUGUUUUCUUUCCAUGGGAAUAGAACAUUUAUCAAAAGUUUGAUUAAACAAGUUGUUGCAAAAGACUCAACCAUCCACGUAAACCCUGAAAAUAUUGAAUAGGAGCAACCCCGAAAUAUGAUUGAAGACCAAUUUUUUAGAUGAAUAUUACCUUUAUUGUUUUUCUUUACACUUGUGAAUAUUGUCUUCACUGUUUUUCUUUACACCUGAAAAUUUUAUAGAUUCUUG
rnacentral:lncRNA from 1 species